AGAAGAGGAGGAAUUGUAUUCUGGAAGUAUACUUAAGGUAAUACAGUUGAGAAAUCUCAUCUAUACAUGGACCUGAUUUAGAUGAUGAAAUUCUAGACUUUGAGCUGAUGCUAUAAUGGGAUUCGACUUUGGGGUAGCUUGAGAGGGAGCGAGUGUAUUUUGCAUGUGGAAGGAAUGUAAAUCACCAGAAUUCAGAGGGCAUGCUCGUGGUGGCCAUUCUUUAAAACAUCCCCCAGUGAUUCCGACCUCCUGAUAUGCAUGCCUUUCCAUAGUCUCCUACAUUGUGUCUGGGUUGGUCUGCAAAGCCAAUGCAGUAUGAAAUGAUGUGUGUGACUUCCAAAGCUAGGUCCUAAAAGACAUUAGGGCUUUCCGUCUCCUCCCUCCCCACUCUCCCUCUUUCUUGUUCUGCUUUCUCUGAGAGAAAUUAACUACUAUGUCAUGAGGUCACUCAAGAAACUCUAUGGAGAGGUCCACGUGGCAAGGAACUGAGCCCUCCUGCUACGAGCCAGUGAGGAACUGAACCCUCCAACUACCAACCACGUGGGGCAGCCAUCUUGGAAACAGAUCCUCCUGCCCCGGUUAAGACUUCAGAUGACUACAGCCAAUCUCUUGACUGAAACCUCAUAAGACUCUUGAACUAGAACCAACUGACUCCCAAAACUGUGUAAGGUGAUGUCCACUGGUCACUUAUGUGUACCCUCUCUGUCCCGAUAUGGCUCCAGGACACUGACAUCAGAUGAUAUUUCCAAGGUCCAACUCUCCUCCACAGCCUGCCAAAGCUGGUCAAAAAGAGGAGUCACUUCCCUCAAGGAUGAACUGUAAAGGAAUGCCUGCCACUUAGAACACGGCCCAAGUUCCUGAGCACAGCUUUCGAGGCUCUCACCACCUGACCCCCGUAAACCUGGCCAGCCACAUCCUCAUGCCUCCUUUCCUGCAUCACCUGCUCCAGCGAACUAAAGCAGCAAGGUGCCCUGAAGGUCUCCACCCAUCUCUGAACCCCCCUAUUUCUGCUAAGCCAUUAUCUUUCUCCUGCACUUAACACAACUGAGGGGCUCAAAGACAGAGCCAUAGUCUAUAAACCCUGUGAAAUUUCACCAUGCAACUUUUUGAAAAUCCUUGUCAGACAAUUCCAAAUAGACGCUAGCCAUCCAAUUGUGUCCCAUGCACCCGUGCAAAUUUAAUAAACAGAUCUACACCCAAGCUACUUGCAGUGGUUUUUGGUUUUGAGAAUGGGUCUCCCGGUGUUGCCCAUGUUGGUCUCAAAUUCCUGGGCUCAAGCGAUCCUCUUGCCUCAGCCUCCCAAGGAUCUGGGACUUCAAGCAUGCACCACUGCACCCAAGAAACCUUCUCCAGGAUAACCCUGAUCUAUUAUCCUUUGAGUAUGAUUAUUAACUGAAGAAUUUAACUAUCCUAACAUUCAGCCAACCCUGUCCUCGAGCACAGGGCUGUGCUUGUCAUAGACUCUUGAAGAGCCUGUGGAAGUCAAUAUCCUGCCCGUAUUUCCCCAACUAGCAAUUCCAAAACCCAGGACUAGUCUGACAGGCUCUGUUUGGAACUGCAGACCCAUUCUGGCCCCUACCAAUUGUUUUCUUCCCUAGAUCAAGCCAAAACACACCUGAAUAACCUGCUCUUCCUCCCAGAUAUUGGAACAUAUCAUGAAACCACAAUAAAUAUGUGCACACAGGCAGAUCGAUGGAAUAAAACACAAGGCCGAAAAUAAAUCCAAAUACACAUAGGAAUUUAGAAUAUAAUGAGAGGUGUUUCAAAUCAUGAAAGGGUAUUUUGUUUACUAAAUGACAUUAGUACAAAACUGUAAAGUUAGAUUUGUACCUCAUGCCUUACGCUAAGAUAAACAAAUUCCAAAUGGAUGAAAGCUUUGCAUGGGAAUACUAAAACCGUAAAAGCAUUAGGAUUGUGAAAGCAUUCACGCAUUGUAAGUGCUUAUUAGCAUCUAUAAGACGUCAGGAAAAAAAUGUGAGAACAUUCCAAUAAUCUUCAAAGCCCUUUAAAAAAAUACUGUCCAAAAUCCAGGAGCUUUUAAAGAAUAAAUUCAACUAAUGAAAAUUAAAUUUUCAGCAUGGCAAAAAAACAAACCCACUAAAAGUCAAGAGAAAAACAAACUCCUUAAAAAAAUGCAACUCUUAUUACAAAGAGCCAAUGUUCCUAAUAUACAGAGCUAUGAACUGAGAAAACAAAAUCAACUUAAUAGGCAAAGGAUAUGAACAUUUCACAAAA
rnacentral:lncRNA from 1 species